GAUGAACGCUGGCGGCGUGCCUAAUACAUGCAAGUCGAGCGAAUGGAUUAAGAGCUUGCUCUUAUGAAGUUAGCGGCGGACGGGUGAGUAACACGUGGGUAACCUGCCCAUAAGACUGGGAUAACUCCGGGAAACCGGGGCUAAUACCGGAUAAUAUUUUGAACUGCAUGGUUCAAAAUUGAAAGGCGGCUUCGGCUGUCACUUAUGGAUGGACCCGCGUCGCAUUAGCUAGUUGGUGAGGUAACGGCUCACCAAGGCAACGAUGCGUAGCCGACCUGAGAGGGUGGUCGGCCACACUGGGACUGAGACACGGCCCAGACUCCUACGGGAGGCAGCAGUAGGGAAUCUUCCGCAAUGGACGAAAGUCUGACGGAGCAACGCCGCGUGAGUGAUGAAGGCUUUCGGGUCGUAAAACUCUGUUGUUAGGGAAGAACAAGUGCUAGUUGAAUAAGCUGGCACCUUGACGGUACCUAACCAGAAAGCCACGGCUAACUACGUGCAGCAGGCGCCGUAA
rnacentral:rRNA from 1 species